GACGAACGCUGGCGGCGUGCUUAACACAUGCAAGUCGAACGGAAAGGCCCUGCUUUUGUGGGGUGCUCGAGUGGCGAACGGGUGAGUAACACGUGAGUAACCUGCCCUUGACUUUGGGAUAACUUCAGGAAACUGGGGCUAAUACCGGAUAGGAGCUCCUGCUGCAUGGUGGGGGUUGGAGAGUUUCGGCGGUUGGGGAUGGACUCGCGGCUUAUCAGCUUGUUGGUGGGGUAGUGGCUUACCAAGGCUUUGACGGGUAGCCGGCCUGAGAGGGUGACCGGCCACCUUGGGACUGAGAUACGGCCCAGACUCCUACGGGAGGCAGCAGUGGGGAAUAUUGCACAAUGGGCGGAAGCCUGAUGCAGCAACGCCGCGUGCGGGAUGACGGCCUUCGGGUUGUAAACCGCUUUCGCCUGUGACGAAGCGUGAGUGACGGUAAUGGGUAAAGAAGCACCGGCUAACUACGUG
rnacentral:rRNA from 1 species